GAUGAACGCUGGCGGCGUGCCUAAUACAUGCAAGUCGAGCGAACGGACGAGAAGCUUGCUUCUCUGAUGUUAGCGGCGGACGGGUGAGUAACACGUGGAUAACCUACCUAUAAGACUGGGAUAACUUCGGGAAACCGGAGCUAAUACCGGAUAAUAUUUUGAACCGCAUGGUUCAAAAGUGAAAGACGGUCUUGCUGUCACUUAUAGAUGGAUCCGCGCUGCAUUAGCUAGUUGGUAAGGUAACGGCUUACCAAGGCAACGAUGCAUAGCCGACCUGAGAGGGUGGAGGGGAAAACGGGAAGGGAGCAAAGGGGAAGACGGAAAGGGGAGGGAGAAGUCGGGAAUAGUGAGAAAUGGGAGAAAGGAUGAAGGAGCAAAGAUGUGAGAGUGAUGAAGGUGUUAGGAUAGGAAAACGCUGUGAGGAGGGAAGAAAAAAGGUGGAAGGAAAUAUGCACGGGGGGAAGGGAGCGAAACAGAAAGACAAGGAAAAAGAAGUG
rnacentral:rRNA from 1 species